UACGUAGGGGGCAAGCGUUGUCCGGAAUCAUUGGGCGUAAAGCGCGUGUAGGCGGCCUUGUAAGUCCGUUCUGAAAGCCCGGGGCUCAACCCCGGGAGGCGGAUGGAUACUGCAAGGCUCGAGUACGGAAGAGGCGAGUGGAAUUCCCGGUGUAGCGGUGAAACGCGCAGAUAUCGGGAGGAACACCAAUGGCGAAGGCAGCUCGCUGGGACGUUACUGACGCUGGAGACGCGAAAGCGUGGGGAGCAAACAGGG
rnacentral:rRNA from 1 species